GGAGAGUGAAUUUGCAGUGGGGAUCAGAUCAGCUCUAGUCGAAAAGGGUCUUGGGGCGUUGAUCUAUGCGGGGACAGGGAUAGUAGCAGGAAGCGAUCCAUCUUCAGAGUGGAAUGAGCUUGAUCUUAAGAUAUCUCAGUUCACCAAGUCAAUUGAAUAUGAACCAAAAACAGCUCUGCAUGCGAUUAAUUGAAGAAAGAGUACUUUGUUUGCAUGGGGAUGAUGAUGAUGAUUGAUGGGGUUUUCACAAUAGAAAGCAAUGUUGUCUCUCUUGUAAAUAAAAGGAAUAAUUAAUUGCUUUUAUCUGAUUGUUAAUGGGCUGAGCUCUUAUUGGUUGUAACUAGGUGAGG